GAACGCGAAGAACCUUACCAACCCUUGACAUCGCCUGACCGGCCUGGAGACAGGUCUUCCCCGCAAGGGGCAGGUGGACAGGUGCUGCAUGGCUGUCGUCAGCUCGUGUCGUGAGAUGUUCGGUUAAGUCCGGCAACGAGCGCAACCCACACCCUUAGUUGCCAUCAUUCGGUUGGGCACUCCAAGGGAACUGCCGGUGAUAAGCCGGAGGAAGGUGUGGAUGACGUCAAGUCCUCAUGGCCCUUACGGGUUGGGCUACACACGUGCUACAAUGGUGGUGACAGUGGGUUAAUCCCCAAAAGCCAUCUCAGUUCGGAUUGUCGUCUGCAACUCGACGGCAUGAAGUCGGAAUCGCUAGUAAUCGCGCAACAGCUCGGCGCGGUGAAUACGUUCCCGGGCCUUGUACACACC
rnacentral:rRNA from 1 species